AUCUCGCUGUGGGUUGCUCUGUGUUCCCUUCCCCAGAAAACAUCGGGUCCUAUGAUAACCGGGUUGGACUCUCGGAAAAAGCAGUUUGCCCAGGGCAGCUGCUGUUCCUGCGCGGGAUGGGCUUGUUCCCAGCCGUGUCCCUGCCGUCACCGGCCACUGCUGGCCACUGCAAAGCCGCUCUGGCCCUGGGAGAUGCCAGGAAUGAAGGUUUUCUGCCACAUUUUGCACUCCCUAAUGCUUUCCUGGUCUUGCCGUAGCAAUGUGCCACCCCAAAACCUCACCAGCUGCCCCAUGGAAAGAGCUGCCUGCGGUGGGACCUCAGCCCCAGCUUAUAGGAAACAUGUGUCCCGAGGAUUAACAGCCGUGUAAAAGAUAAAGCAGCGAGUCAAACCUCCAGCCAGCAUGUUUCAAAUAACCCGCUGCUGCCGCAACGUGUAGUCACCGGGGCAAUAAGGAACGGGCUGGGGAAGGUCCCAAUUUCUCCCCCGUCGAGGCAAACGCUUCGGCUAAUUAGCAAAACGUGUCGAAGAAAAUGAUUAAUGUCCCGGGAGGAGAUUUCGCUGCCUUUGUGCUGGCAUGGACUGACUUCUGCUCUUAAAGGGGCAGGUAACUCAAUCCCCUCGGCCAGGCGAGGGUAGGAGCGGUUCUGUGCUGAAGGAUUUCUGCGUGGGAUAUUACCCCCCGGGGAAAUAAUCCUGUUAUUUGAAAUGUAAAAAAGAAUUCACAUGGACAACAAUGGAUUCCUAAAUGAACCUAACAACAGUCCCGAAUCCAGGCACAGCAGCGCCGGCCUCGGCUAGAAAUCCAUAAAGUUGCUUUUAAAAA